UCACCGCUUGCGCGGGCAGUUUCUCCAGAGUCCCCGACCGAAUCGUUGGCAACUGGAGAUAGGGGUUGCGCUCGUUGCAGGACUUAACCUAACACCUCACGGCACGAGCUGACGACAGCCAUGCAGCACCUAGUUUCGUGUCCUUGCGGACUGACCCCUUUCAGGGUCAUUCACUAACUUUCAAGCCCAGGUAAGGUUCCUCGCGUACCAUCGAAUUAAACCACAUGCUCCUCCGCUUGUGCGGGCCCCCGUCAAUUCCUUUGAGUUUCAGUCUUGCGACCGUACUCCCCAGGUGGAUAACUUAACGCUUUCGCUAAGCCGCUGACUGUGUAUCGCCAACAGCGAGUUAUCAUCGUUUAAGGCGUGGACUAC
rnacentral:misc_RNA from 1 species